rnacentral:rRNA from 1 species
UGGGGAAUAUUGCACAAUGGGGGAAACCCUGAUGCAGCGACGCCGCGUGAACGAAGAAGGUAUUCGUAUCGUAAAGUUCUGUCCUAUGGGAAGAUAAUGACAGUACCAUAGAAGAAAGCUCCGGCUAAAUACGUGCCAGCAGCCGCGGUAAUACGUAUGGAGCGAGCGUUGUCCGGAAUUAUUGGGCGUAAAGGGUACGCAGGCGGUUUAAUCAGUCGAAUGUUAAAGAUCGGGGCUCAACCCCGUAAAGCAUUGGAAACUGAUAAACUUGAGUAGUGGAGAGGAAAGUGGAAUUCCUAGUGUAGUGGUGAAAUACGUAGAUAUUAGGAGGAAUACCAGUAGCGAAGGCGACUUUCUGGACACAAACUGACGCUGAGGUACGAAAGCGUGGGGAGCAACCAGG